GGGUUGGCGCAAACUAUACGCAGGAUGCCUCAGUGUGGUUUCUUCUUUUCCCUUUUAUUUCUUUCCAAUGAAUUCUGCAGAAAGGAUCAACUUUGAGAAAAGACUGUCAACAAAAAAUUGAACGUGAGAACAAAUCUGAUUUGAACUAUUAUCUAGCUGAUCGAAAAAAGAAAUUCCAUGAUUAGCAGCUUUAGAAAAGUUGAGUACAGACCUGAUCCAAGUACUUUUAGAGCUGGACUGAAAGCUUAAUAUAGUCUCCUUUAUGUUUACAGUAAUGACGGAUGACAAAGGCAAAACUUAAGUGUGGAACAAAGAUUCCAAGCAUCCACAUACAAACAGUAGAUGGGAAAGAAAUAGAGAGCAAUGCAGUUGACUUUUUUUUGGGUGGAUUUUAACAUAUAGUGAUUUUGAUUCCAUUCCUAAAUGGAGCAUCUGAUACAUGUGUUGUAUCAUAUUAAUUAAGAUUGUUGUCACUAGCAAAACGCUACUAUGGGCCAUUGAUUUCCAACUCCCUGUCCAGGUGAAGGAUCACAAAAAUAGCAUCCAUGAUUCCUGCAAUAAAAACAGACACAACAUUAUAUAAUUUUAUCUUCUGAAGUUUCUUGGUUAAACUCUAUAAGAAGAGAAGCUAUCAAUGAAGGACAAGGUUUCGCUGCACCGACACUAAGUUUGCAUGGCCAAGUUGUUCCAAAUCCACAUUGGAAUUUCAUGGUUCAUUACAGGGUGCGUCAUGAGUGGUGUUAGUGAAGAAAAGUACCAUGGCUGGUGAGUCAGCACGGUUAGGUCCGCGGGUCGAUGUUGGGAACUUCUGGUGGAGUGAGUAGGAUGAUGAGGUGGCUGCGCCUCUUGAGCGUCUCGGGCGAGGGUUGGACCGACAGGAUCGACUGAGUCCUUCGUGAGUGGCUAGGGGUUGGCGCUCCGAGGCCUGCUGACUUGAGUGUCGCUUGUGGCGGGAUGUGUCCUUUCGUCCCCGAGGUGGUUGGCAACCUUUCUUCGUGACGUGGGCGCGCCCUUGGGAGGGGAGGCAUAGGCUGGUGUUGGUUGGGAUCCGAACCGACGGACCACCCUCUUCUACGCACCGGAUGAUGACCUCGGGGUGAAGACGCCCGCCACUCGGGGGUGACCACCUCCCUGCAAAACGGCCUUCGUCGAGUGCUUCCCGACUUUGGCCCCUCCGACGAGCAAGUCAGUUCAGUUUGCCCUCUUCUAUUUGUUCCCUUCUUUCUUCCCCCCGGCCGAGCAUCGAACGGGGGUAUUUAUACCUGCAUGCGAGGGUUGGUUGCGCCUCAGUUCGGCGUGGCCGCUGACUUUCGUGGGGGCGGGGACAACUUCUCUGACGAGAUGACGUCUUUGGGGGUGCUUGAGUGGCAUCAGACGACACUGCCCCGAGAGCAGACGACAUCGCCCCGAUGUCACGAACGAUCGUUGCGCACCCGCAACAACUCCGUUCAACGAACCGUUCGUCGCUCUCAUCUACAUGUACAGCUGCUUGGCAGCAUGUUUUGUCUUGGUUUUGAGUCAUUUUGCUUAUAAAAAUGUAAGUUCGAACAAGUUGCAAUGCUACAAAGCGACCGCUCACCGAACCGAGUAAAACAACCCUAAAACAGCUCCGUUUUCGUGUGCCACGGGCUGUUUUCUGCAGUCCGCUUCCGCUCACAAAACGUCAGCCAUCUCAGCCCCUUGGAACCACCCGGGUGGCACAAGGCUGGAUGGGGCUUCGGUAUAGUGUCGGACGUUGAACAAUCUUUCGCAAGUUCGCACGUUACCUUGACAGGAACUUAUUGUCGCACCCGGCACCCGGUGAGCAGCUAUUUGUGGACUUGCAGCUGUUCGUUCAACCUUCUAAAGUCCUUGUUUAACCCCUCUCCCUCUUUUCUCUUGUGCACGCAAGGUGCUCGCUGAAUUGCUUGUAAAGCUUCCCCUUUUCGCGAAACGUCGGGACUUGUCCGUCGCUCGUUCUUUAAACUAAUCAACUUUCUCUUUUUAGAGGUCCUUCGGGACCUGCGAGAGGUUGCAAGUGGGCUGAUCUUUGCGGACGCAAAUCGCAAGGGCGAAGCGCGACUUAGGCAAUGCAAGCUAAGUUCUCGUCUUUGCCGCAAGGGUGCCUCGCGACUUAGGCAACACAAGCUAAGUUCGCGUCUUUGCCGCAAGGGUGCCUCAUGCCUCAUGACUUAGGCAACACAAAACAUUCUCGAGGGAAGGAGCUCGGGGGCGAACAAAGAAAGAAGAGUUCCCACAAAGGGCCAAGCCCGAAAGGCAAGGCCUCGAAACCUGGAGGAUGCUUCUUGUGCGGAGGGCCGCACAUAGUGAGGGAGUGCCCACAAAAAUAGGCACUCAAUGCUUUAACAGCUUCCAUCCACCCAAGAUCUGAAGGCUACUGUUCUGGAAGAACCGGUGCUCAAAUUGCCGGACUAUGGGAGCCCUUUGAAGUCCAUACAGAGGCUUCAGACUUCGCUAUUGGGGAAGUACUCAUGUAGGAGCGUCAUCCGGUGGCCUACGAGAGCUGCAAGCUCAAUGAGACCGAGCGGCGGUAUCCAUUGCACGAGAAGGAGAUGACAGUGGUGAUCCACUGUCUAUGAGUCUGGCGACACUACCUUCUCGGAUCGCGAUUUGUGCCGAGGACAGACAAUAUCGCUCUGAGCUAUUUCCAAACGCAGAAGAAACUUUCCCCUAAGCAAGCACGAUGGUAGGACUUACUGGCUGAAUUUAAUAUGGCAAUGGAGUACAAGCCUGGAAAGGCAAAUGUCGUGACCGAUGCAUUGAGUCAAAAAGUGGAGCGCGUGAAUGUCGUACAAUUGGAGGUCAGAAGUCAAGCAAGUCAAUUGCACUCCAACUUCCUUUCCAGGAUCAGGGAUGGACUGUAUAGUGAUCCCCAGGCAAUUACCCUGACGCAGCUCAUCAAAGAAGGCAAGGCACGACGAUUUUGGGUCCAGGAGGGACUCAUUUACACAAAAGUGAAUAUGGUUUAUGUUCCUCGAGUGGACAAUUUGAGGUGUGAACUCUUAAGAGAGUCACGAUUCCCUUUGGGCUGGACACCCAGGUAUUCACUGAACGUUGGCUCUCGUGGAGAGGGCCUUCUACUGGCCGAAGAUGGGGACUGAUGUGGAGGAAUAUGUUUGAACGUGCCUCACUUGCCAUCAAGACAAGGCAGAGCAGCGAAAACCGGUGGGACUUUUGGAGUCGUUGCCCAUACCCGAAAGGCCGUGGGAGAGUAUUUCCUUAGACUUCAUAUCAAGCUUACCACUAGUAGGGAGACUCGGAUCGAUACUCGUGGUAGUCGAUCGAUUUUUAAAGUAUGCAACUUUCAUUGCUGCUCCCCUACACUGUUCAGCAGAGGAGGCGACCAAGCUGAUGAUGAAGGAUGUGGUGAAGUAUUGGGGAGUCCCGCACAAUAUCAUCAGUGAUCGAGAUGCUUGAUUCCUGGGACGAUUCUGGACCGAGCUAUUCAAACUAUUGGGAUCCAAGUUAUACUUCUCCACAAGCCUCCACCCCUAAACGGAUAGCCAAACCGAGAGGAUAAACUCGCUCUUGGAGCAAUAUCUUCGACACUACGUGAGUGCCAACCAACGAGAUUGGGUGAAGCUGUUGGACAUUGCCCAAUUCUCUUACAACUUGCAGCGGCGCUCUGCGUCCAACAAAAGCCCCUUCGAGAUCAUUACAGGACAAUAACCGUCAACUCCUCACACCAUGACAAUCGAGUAUACUGGGAGUAGUCCGUCAGCCUACCACUUCGCAAAGGAGUGGCACCGAAAUGCAGAUAUCGCGCGGGCUUACUUGGAGAAGGCGGCAAAAAGGAUGAAGAAGUUGGCAGACUUGGGAAGGCGACCGCAAGAGUUCAAGGUCGGCAAUUUGGUAUUGGUAAAGCUCUAACCAGCAUCACUCAUAUUCUUUAGGAACAAGAUCCACAAAGGAUUGGUACGCAAGUAUGAAGGGCCCUUCCCAAUUAUCAGUAGGGUAGGCAACGUCUCCUACAAGUUACAGCUGCCCGCGUGGUUCAACAUUCACAAUGUUCUUCACGCCAGCAACCUAAAAGCCUACCACUCGGAUCCGCAAGAUGCUUCCCGAAGUGUUCCAACUCAGCUACCCCCCACCACAGCCUCCUACGAGAAGCGAGUUGAAACCAUUCUGGCGGACCGCAAGAUAAAGCUACCCAAUGGAGCUAAGCAGAUAGAGUAAUAUGAACAUAUAAGAUUUCAUGGUUCAUUACAGGGUGCGUCAUGAGUGGUAACCGAUCUCUGUGGACAGGAAGACCUAAAUGAAACCAUUAAGCAUAUUUUUGUAUAACUUCUUACCUGCUAAAUAAAGAAUCUUAUUAUUCUUGACAUAUAAGAUUUCUAGAAAAAAUAUUCCCAAAAAGGUACAGCAGACUCCAAGUUCAGAAUUUUGAAGAAAAUUUAUCUAAACAUAAAGUCAAUGUAAAUUCUAGGAAUUUAGAUUAUUCAUUCUAGAUCUAGUAGAGCUCCUUAAGAUCAUCGUAGCAGUAGAGCUUGUCUGCAAAUGUAAAUCAAUUUAGAUUUUAAACGUUAACUUAGAAAAAAAUAAAAAAAUAAAACUUGUUUUGAUUCCUACAGUUUACAUUCCAUCAUGAUGAACAGCAGCACAAUAAUCAUCAAUAUUGGAUGAGUUAUUAAUAAGAAUAACAAACAUCAAGCUGUAUUAUAAAUCUUCAGCAACCUAUAGAUAAAAAAGAAUUAACAAAGACCAAUAAAAUCUGGAAGAAACAAGUUCCAAAUGAAAAUGAAAAAAUAACAGAAACAUAUAUUAAAAACAUCAGCAAUGGGAAAAAUUCACUAAUACAUGACUAUAUUGUCACUGAAGACAUAUGUGAGACUAAUAUUUUCCAGUGUAAACCUUUUAAUUUUCUCAGGAAGAUAGAUAUCUGCAAACUGCAUAGGCAUGUAUGACUUUUCAAUUGGCAUUUGUCACAACGAUGUAUUAGAAAUACCAAAUUUUUCCUGUUGAAUUUGCUUAUCAACAAGUUGUUUGAUCAUGCUAGCAUUUAACAUCAAAGGGGGAUAUCUUAUUUAUUUACAAGGCUAAGAGAAUUAAUCGUAGAAGACCUGCAUGCAGCAUGCAAUAAAUACUAGUCAGAAAGCGAGCAUUCAUGAUUCAAGGUUAAAGCAGAAUUUUGGCACUAUCAGGUAACACAGUCUUGCUGAUGCAUCUAAAGAAACCAGAAAAGGCAUAAAUCAUAGUCAGUAGAAUUUUGUAGAGAUCACCAAUACAGACUAACAACCGACAAUCAUACUGAAGGAACAGAACAUAUGAAAAAAAGCCUAAAUCAUAAAUCCAAUGUCAUACUGGAAGUUAAUAAAUUAUACCAGUGUUGCAUAUGGCAGGUAUGGCUGGACCUUCAUUAGAGGAUGUUUCCAUUCCGAUUUCUCACUCCCUUGUUAGAUUGGAGCUGUAGGAAUGUGCAUCUGGGAUCGUAUUUGAUUCUUAUGAUUAGGUGGCAUUAGGCCGCCAUUCUACUUUUUGUAAGGAGGCUUAGCCCUAUGCUAGGGACACAAGAAACAUUAGUUGUACUCACUUUUUUGAAGUAAUAUACUUUCAUCUUUCUUAAAAAGAAAAAAAAAAAAACUAGUGUCACUAGAAUUUAGUAGAGAUUAACAAUAUAGCCUAACAACCGAAAGUCUUACUGAAGCAACUGAACGUACCACAAAAAGCCUAGAUUUGGAAGCUAAUAAAUUAUACCAGUGUGUCCUAUCAACUAAUGAUUUCCAAGAUACCAAAAUCUCAAAAGAAAUUCAGGAGAUUAGCAUGGCUCGAAGAUCGUCAUAUGAAUUUACUUGCUGUAAACAUACUAGGAGGGUAUAAGCUCUAAAAAUUUCCAUGGAUUCAUAUCAUAUUUCAUUGUUAUUCUUAUAUAAGAGGCAAGACCAGAUGUCCAAAAAAAAUCAGGUCCUUCCAAAAGUUUUCCUACAAUCUCCUUUGCAAUCCUCACUAGUCCAUGCAAGAUCGGAUGAUGGACUUAAAACAAUAUAAUCGAUCUAUGCAGUUCACUAGCAGUCUAGCAUUACCACUAUGCAGUUCAUUAGUAUUACCAUGAAGACAAAUACAGACUAUCGAAUCAUGUUGGAGAAUAUCAUGCAUUGCUGAACUUCAGCACCAACUGCUUAUAGUGACUUUCAAAUGCUUAUAAUGACCUUAUAAUGAUACACUCUACAGAUUCGGUUAAUGGUUAAUGGGAUCAACAGACUUUUCCAUGUAUAAUAACCUUCCCUCAACAAAACUGCGAUCCAGUGUGACAAUGCUAGCCUAAAAUUGUCAGGCACCAGGGAUCAGCAUGCCAAAGUCGAUGAAAAAUGAAAAGGCUAUAAAAGAUAACCAGUAACCACUGUCUCGGAAGAAAAGGAAUAAUACAAACAUGUGAAGAUGUUAAAAUUCUUUAAGUAAUUUGUCUCCAUAAAGGGUCUUUUGAGUUUUGCUUGGAGGUUUUCAAGGCAUUGAAUAUAAAUAGAAAUGCUUUCAAAACCGAAGAAAUAUUCUCAACUUCCAGGGCAUUGGCUAAUGUGCAGGAACUAAAGAGCAACACACUAGCACUUCCAUCCUAUACUGGAGUUUAUGAACAAGCAGCCAUCCUUAGACAUCCAUGGAAUGUCAGCAUAAGCAACAGGAUGUCAUUACCAAGAUUCUGCAGGGUUACAGUAUAUCUCCUCUACUCUUAUCUUGAUCGCACAACAGAAAUCUUAGCCAUCUUUCUAGGACUUCAAAUUUUCAAUCCGCCUAUGCAAUCUCCUAAAAUAUUCUUUAGGGUCACGUGAAGUCCUCUUUUGAAUGUCCAUUAGGUCUCCCUUACCCAUAAUGCUAAUGAAGUACCCCACAUUGCUAUUAAAAUGACGAGUGACAAUGCUCCAAAUUAACAAGCGAGUAAGACUAUAAUCUAAGGAUAUAAACUGAUAAGACUGUAAUCGAUUAACAUACGUGCACAGAGAGUAACGAAAUGCUUCAUGUCAAAGUUACAUCACCAAAAUAGAACUCAAACAAAGUUUCUUGGUUGAUAUAAGAUUAAAAAAAAAAGGGUGAGGUGGGAGAUCUCAAAAAGAUGCUUAUUUUCAGAUGAACUCUCUCCGUGCGAUUGAGGGAAUCAAGGGAACAAACUGAGGAAUGGGAAUCCAGUUUCCAAAUCCAUGUAUGGAACGAUUAGAAUUGAUAUCUCAUGUCAUUCGGAGUCUCUAGCUCCAGUUCUUCAGCAUCAGCAAUCAUAACAUGCUUGACAUUAGGAACGUACCAAAUUGGAAAAGCCAAAGUGUGAUGCUACUGAUCAUGAAGAGUUUAGAAAGGAAUAGAGUUAGUCGCAUAGAAUUCACAGACCAAUCAGAAAAGCAAAUAAUAAGUCUUGUCAAAGUGAGUUGUCAGCACAACCGGUCAGGACUAUGCAUUAAUUGACAACUUUUUUUUAUGGUCAUUUGAACAUUUUGUCCAUAUCCUUGGAUUUAUUAAGAUGGAACUGUUCCUAUGUCCUUUGAUUCCCGGAAAAGCUUGCUCCAACAGCGAGAAGAAAACGACAUGCAAACAUAUACAUAAAAUUCCACAGUAAGUACAUAAAAGAUGUUUCAAUCCAAAAAUUGAGAUAGUUACUCCAGCCUAAAAAAGGAACCACUGUAACUUCUAUUUCCCUGUAAGUGAUAAUGAAGUCCAACAAGCCAACUUAUUUCGUUUGUACUGAGAUUCAUACACCUUUCUUGUCGACAAUGGCCUGUGACAUCUUUUGUCAACAUGCUUCCUUGUCACCUUCUCACAACUUCCAGCCAAAAUCAUCACAGGCUAAAUUUACUCCGCCAUAUUUACAGACGCGUUUUAGUGUUCUUCCGACGGUUGUCUUCAUCAUUUUGUUCGAAAUUUCAGGAUUCCUAUUUCGUGUGCUUAAUUUUGUACUUAUUCCAAGCAUCAUCUUUCAAAAUUUGCUAAUCAUCACCGCAUUAUUCUCAUCUUUGAAGCUUCCAGAGAGAGAACAUUCGAGUAAAAACAUGCAGCAAGCUUUUAUUUCGUGGUUUAUUUCCAUCGAACUAGCACUAUUCUGCAAUCAGCACAAUCUCUAUUCCAAUCUCGCGGUCCUUGGAACACCGACAUUGGCGGUGUACAAACUCAACGGCCAAAAGAGGAACCCUUUUGUUCGCUCCCUCCUCAAAAAUUAAUGAACCAAAAAGAAUUAACAACUAUAGCUUUCUUGCACUAGAAUCAGCGAAGAAACAAGCAAAGCAUGAUAAAAUCGAAUCUUUCGCCGAUAACAAUAAAGACGAGAAUACAAAAGGAAACCCAAGGCUGGAAUCGCGCACCAAAGCGAAGACGCCGCUCUCUCCUUCGGAAUCGGAACACUAAACGAAGCAAUCGAGGGCGAACUCGUGGCUCGUCCUGCUCAAGUGUGAUCGCGUCGUUGGCGGCCGUCGAGGGAUCGAACCCCGACCCCGGACCCCCGGCCAUCAGGGGGGCACAGCUAGGGCUGGCUAAAACCCACUGAGAUGCGAACGGUACACUGGGAGCG
rnacentral:lncRNA from 1 species